ACGCAAGACAUAGUCCAUAAAAGACUCCCAAAUUCGGCAUGAAGGGCCGAUAGGCUUCUCCGACAGCCCUGAAGGCCAAAAGUCUCACGACCCCUCUCCUCCGUCAUACUCCACCCGAACCCACUAACCACGCCGUUGCCUAUGGAAGAUGCAUCAACCUGACAAAUCGGGAACCUCUGGGCAUCGGGUAGAGAAAUCAGGAGCAAAGGAGUGAGCGAAGGCUCGUCUAAUCCGUCCUCUUCUUCUUCCUGUUGGUUUGCAAUCUUCCAACUUCCUGCUUUAACCUUGGCGUGGAUCAAAGUAUCUACUGAGAAAUUUCUUUCUCGUUGAAAAUCUUAUCCCCGC
rnacentral:lncRNA from 1 species